GGGUGCGAUCAUACCAGCACUAAUGCACUGGAUCCCAUCAAAACUCCGCCGUCAAGUGUGCUUCGGCGAGAGUAGUACUUGGAUAUGUGACCUCUAUGAAGUCCUCGUGUUGCACCCU
rnacentral:rRNA from 1 species